rnacentral:rRNA from 1 species
GCGUGCUUAACACAUGCAAGUCGAACGGAAAGGCCCUGCUUUUGUGGGGUGCUCGAGUGGCGAACGGGUGAGUAACACGUGAGUAACCUGCCCUUGACUUUGGGAUAACUUCAGGAAACUGGGGCUAAUACCGGAUAGGAGCUCCUGCUGCAUGGUGGGGGUUGGAAAGUUUCGGCGGUUGGGGAUGGACUCGCGGCUUAUCAGCUUGUUGGUGGGGUAGUGGCUUACCAAGGCUUUGACGGGUAGCCGGCCUGAGAGGGUGACCGGCCACAUUGGGACUGAGAUACGGCCCAGACUCCUACGGGAGGCAGCAGUGGGGAAUAUUGCACAAUGGGCGGAAGCCUGAUGCAGCAACGCCGCGUGCGGGAUGACGGCCUUCGGGUUGUAAACCGCUUUCGCCUGUGACGAAGCGUGAGUGACGGUAAUGGGUAAAGAAGCACCGGCUAACUACGUGCCAGCAGCCGCGGUGAUACGUAGGGUGCGAGCGUUGUCCGGAUUUAUUGGGCGUAAAGGGCUCGUAGGUGGUUGAUCGCGUCGGAAGUGUAAUCUUGGGGCUUAACCCUGAGCGUGCUUUCGAUACGGGUUGACUUGAGGAANGUAGGGGAGAAUGGAAUUCCUGGUGGAACGGUGGAAUGCCAAAUAUCAGGAGGAACACCAGUGGCGAAGGCGGUUCUCUGGGCCUUU